rnacentral:pre_miRNA from 1 species
GUGCCGGGCAGGAUAUCAUCGUAUACUGUAAGUUGGCUAUGAGACACUACAGUAUAGAUGAUGUACUCCCCGGGCUGC